GGAGGGAUCAGGUGACAUCAGGCAGCUCUCCUGGAAUUGUCUUGUAUAAAACCAGAGGAUAUCUGUCCCUCAGUUCUCCUUUCUGUGGGUACCCUGACUUUCUCACCUUGGCGUCUCCCCUCACAGUAUUUCUUUCCUGGUUACUUUACUUAUAUGAGUAUGGAAGAAUAAAUUUCCAAGUAUGUUCACAAGGCUGUUUUCUCCAACAUGAAUAGAAUAAUAGAUCCUCUAGUGACCUGUAGCUCAUCUGGCUGGUGGAAAAAUGAGAACCAGGUACCUCCAUUCUGGCUGCACACAGCUAUGCCAUAUUGAUGUUCUGGGCAUAAGGACAAAUCAUUCUUGGAUGUGGCUACCUUUUAAUCUACCAAGUCACUUUCUUCUGGGUGGACAUUAAUACCAUAUGAUGCACUUGUCUCUCUCUCUCACUCACACACCUCCUACAGAAAGUAGGUCUUUACAUAGCCUCAAAGCUACUUCUGUUUCAAGAAAACAGUAGGGGGGAAAAAGGAAGAACCCUCAUGUUCAAAGAGAAGGGACAUGGUAAAUAAAUGAUGUUCUUGCCACCUCCAGGAAGACACAUGGGCAACUGAGCAGUUAUUAGGAAAUGAAAAGAAUCUGGGAGUAUGUUGACUCUGAACAGAGAGGCAAAGUCCAGGAGAUGUGUUUUGUGAAAGCUACAAAGUAUAAGAAAGUCUAUCACAUGUAAGCUUCUUGGUGUCAAAGCACACAUACCUCUGCAUUUGCCUUCAUUCACACUGGACACUAAAAACACACAAGGAAAAAUCACAUCUAAUUCUCACUGUAGGCAGAGUCAGGAGGAUGAAUAGAAGGCAGAGGGGAAACCUGGGAGUGUCCAUCAUGCAGUGUUAAGGGCUACCACUUAAUUGGGAGGAAUCUCUAUCCACAGUGGCAUCUCCAAGGUGGUUAUGGGAGAAAGGAAGACAAAAAGAAGAAAACACACAGAUUCACAUACACAAUUAAGGAAGAAAGUAGAAGCAUGUGUGUUGGCAUGCAUACAUGGAUGUAUGAAUGCAGAAACAAGUGAAUGUGGGGGUGCUCCAGGGAGAGAAGAGCCACACUUUCAGGUAGAGCUUCCUCGAAGGGGCUGCAGAACCAAAGGUCCCCACCAAGAUCACCUGUCUGUGUGGAGCCACUGGGCCCACUUUUCUGACACAUGGAACACCAAUCUGGAUCAGGAGUGCCUACCUGAGAACCUUGGAGGUAAGCCAGGGUAUUAUCCUCCCAGUUGUAAAGCUGAUCAUACAAAUUGGGUCAUCUUGUCAUACGCAACUAAAACAGAGGCAAGCGACCAGGGGCAAAGCCACUUAGGGCAUAUAACAUUGCUUCAACGAUGUGAUUUUUUUGCAAUCCUGACCUCUGUAAUGACCAGCUGUAACCUGAAAACAGUUUUUUCUAAUAGCUACUGAAACAAUCUGCUCAACUCUAAGACUUGUUUUACACAUGGCCGUCACUCACCCAUCAAAGCUUGCCAGCUCUUUGAAACUUUGCUGGUGCUAAUAAACUUUCUGGAAAACAAUACAUAACAUUUCACCUUUUUCUAAAACCUCCAACUUUUGUCUGCUCUUUGAAAAUACCAAAGUCUACCUAGUCUGUGAGUAC
rnacentral:lncRNA from 1 species